rnacentral:rRNA from 1 species
UACGGAGGGUGCGAGCGUUGUCCGGAAUCACUGGGCGUAAAGGGCGCGUAGGUGGCAGCUCAAGUCAACGGUGAAAGCUCGGCGCUCAACGCCGAGUCGGCCGUCGAUACUGGGGUGCUGGAGCACUGUAGAGGCAGAUGGAAUUCCGGGUGUAGCGGUGGAAUGCGUAGAGAUCCGGAAGAACACCGGUGGCGAAGGCGGUCUGCUGGGCAGU